rnacentral:rRNA from 1 species
AUUGAACGCUGGCGGAAUGCUUUACACAUGCAAGUCGAGCGGCAGCACGGGGGCAACCCUGGUGGCGAGCGGCGAACAGGUGAGUAAUACAUCGGAACAUGCCCAGUCGUGGGGGAUAACACUUCGAAAGAAAUGCUAAUACCGCAUACGUCCUGAGGGAGAAAGCGGGGGAUCUUCGCACCUCGCGCGAUUGGAGUGGCCGAUGGCAGAUUAGCUAGUUGGUGGGGUAAAGGACUACCAAGGCAACGAUCUGUAGCUGGUCUGAGAGGAGGAUCAGCCACACUGGGACUGAGACACGGCCCAGACUCCUACGGGAGGCAGCAGUGGGGAAUUUUGGACAAUGGGGGCAACCCUGAUCCAGCCAUUCCGCGUGAGUGAAGAAGGCCUUCGGGUUGUAAAGCUCUUUCGGCAGGAACGAAACGGCGAGCUCUAACAUAGCUUGCUAAUGACGGUACCUGAAGAAGAAGCACCGGCUAACUACGUGCCAGCAGCCGCAGUAAAAC